rnacentral:rRNA from 1 species
CUGGAGGUAUCAGAAGUGCGAAUGCUGACAUAAGUAACGAUAAAGCGGGUGAAAAGCCCGCUCGCCGGAAGACCAAGGGUUCCUGUCCAACGUUAAUCGGGGCAGGGUGAGUCGACCCCUAAGGCGAGGCCGAAAGGCGUAGUCGAUGGGAAACAGGUUAAUAUUCCUGUACUUGGUGUUACUGCGAAGGGGGGACGGAGAAGGCUAUGUUGGCCGGGCGACGGUUGUCCCGGUUUAAGCGUGUAGGCUGGUUUUCCAGGCAAAUCCGGAAAAUCAAGGCUGAGGCGUGAUGACGAGGCACUACGGUGCUGAAGCAACAAAUGCCCUGCUUCCAGGAAAAGCCUCUAAGCAUCAGGUAACAUCAAAUCGUACCCCAAACCGACACAGGUGGUCAGGUAGAGAAUACCAAGGCGCUUGAGAGAACUCGGGUGAAGGAACUAGGCAAAAUGGUGCCGUAACUUCGGGAGAAGGCACGCUGAUAUGUAGGUGAAGUCCCUCGCGGAUGGAGCUGAAAUCAGUCGAAGAUACCAGCUGGCUGCAACUGUUUAUUAAAAACACAGCACUGUGCAAACACGAAAGUGGACGUAUACGGUGUGACGCCUGCCC